rnacentral:rRNA from 1 species
GAAUAUUGAACAAUGGGCGAAAGCCUGAUCCAGCGACGCCGCGUGUGUGAAGAAGGCCUGCGGGUUGUAAAGCACUUUCGGUGGGAACGAAAUGUGCCGGGCUAAUACCCCGGCAAGCUGACGUUACUCAAUGAAGAAGCACCGGCUAACUCUGUGCCAGCCGCCGCGGUAAUACAGAGGGUGCGAGCGUUAAUCGGAAUUACUGGGCGUAAAGCGCACGUAGGUGGCGAUGUAAGUCGGGUGUGAAAUCCCCGGGCUCAACCUGGGAACUGCAUUCGAGACUGUGUUGCUGGAGUACGGAAGAGGAGGGCGGAAUUCCCGGUGCAGCGGUGAAAUGCGUAGAUAUCGGGAGGAACAUCAGUGGCGAAGGCGGCCCUCUGGUCCAGUACUGACACUCAAGUGCGAAAGCGUGGGGAGCAAACAGG